UGAUGACUGAACACACCGUCGCCGAUCUGUCAUUUAAGGCCUCCCCAUCCUCUCGCCGGGCUCUGUGUGGUGCUGCAGCGGCGGAUCAGCUCAGCUGCUAGCUGCCCGCUGGAGCUCUCUCACCGUAGCAGGAUGGAUGAGGGCUAAGCUAACAGCUAGCUAGCUGGCCACAAGCAUCCGAGUCAUGUCUGACUCGAAUCCGCAGUCACAUCGCGUUUCAAGCUAACGAAAUAUGCAUAAUGUGACUGGAAGUGUCAGAUAUCAUCAUAACGAGCACUGUCGCCUCGACAGAGCUCCAUCACCACCAGAUCAUCACGGACUGUCUGCUCGGCGUACUUCCUACCCUGCCGACGUAAAGUCGAGACGUGACCGGACGUGACAGACGUCAACGGCGCCGCUGAUCGUUGGUCGCCAUGGAUGAAUACAGAGAACCGCAGUGAUGGAGCCAAACAUCGUCUUCGUGGUUUCAGAGGACUACCUGAAGGAGUGUCGGAAGUGCACACUCCUUCGUUUCAGCUUCUCCGGGUUGUGGGAUGCCAUGUGGGAAAAUUCUCGGAAGAUGUCAAGGUAUGUGGCGUCUCCUGAUGAAGAAAGCAACGGGAAAUGUAGCAUGAAAAUGAUGCACUUUAACUAAGACCUGAUCAAAACAUCUUUUAUAUGCAAGUUAUGAAUACAAGCCAAGUGAGGCAAACUGAAAGCAGAGGAGGCCUGGGUAAGAAAAAAGCCUCAUGAAUGGAAGGGGGAAAACAGGCGGAGGCACCAUCAACCUUCGCUCUUUCAAUUCCCCAAAUUCUGAGCCUUUACUUUUCUUGUGGCCAUGGUAACUGCUGAAUCCACAGGCGUAACAAAAGCAUUUGAACCCUUUUGUGUCCCAUGAGUGCUCCCAGGCUUGGCUAAUUAAAAAGGCGAAUGCA